CGUGUGUAGGGGAGGAAUCACUUCCGGGGUCGGAAGGCCGGGUGCAAGCCGGCCGUUCUGGGCAGCCUUUUUCCUCGUGCCCGGCGCCUGCUUGCGAGGGCUUGCGUGACAGCCGACCUCUCCUCCUCCCCUUCCCGCAGGGUGGAAGGACCGGCGGCGCUGUCGCCGGUGGAGCGAGGAGGCGGGCUGUGCACCGCGGGGUUUUUGGGGUGCGCCGGGAUCAGUAGAGGGACAGCUCCCGGGGGCCUUGAGAGUGGGCGGGAGUGCCGAGCCCUGCAGGUGCAGUUGUUGGAAAGGCGAUGUGUCUGUUCGGAGGCUCUCCGAGUAGAGGCUUUCUUCGAGGGCCCUGGAGCCAGUCAUCUUUACGUCUGUAUCUUGGGCGGAAUUCCACCUGCCAUCAUCCCAGCCCAUAGAAUCUUCGCUGGAGCACUUGUGCCUGUCACGGAACUCUAGUUGGUCACUUAUUUGAAACGGCUUUCUUUCUUAAACCUCCCUCCCUCGUUCCAAGAGUAUGUUUUAACUCAACUCUUUAAUCUGUAAUAACUUUGUCACAUCAUUAUUUUGUCCUUCAUGAACUCUGGAUCAGGUCUCAAAAGAUGAAAAUUACAUUGCGAGGUGUUUGGAAUUCACAUUGUUUUCAAGAAGAAAAGACAAGCGUGAAUAAAUAAAUGUUGCACCCCAUGUGUGGCUCUUCAUUUCAGCUUUGAACACCCUUGUGUCCAAAAAAUUACAAAUGGUCAUUUGGCUUUUAAGUACCACGGGAUGCUCAACAUAACAGCACUGCACGAGGUGCAAAGGAGAAGGGCCAACAAGAACUAAUUAAAAUAGGAUGGCCCCGUUUGAAACUUCAGGGCCAUGCAUUUCCUCUUGCUUCAUGUUGGUUCUCACUAGUGAAAUACUGCCACUAGCAACAAGUUAGAAAUGGUAGUGUAAUUGAAUAGAUCAAGUAGAGAUUGCUGUGGGCACUCUUCUGAUUCCAGAACUUCCAAAGAGGAAUAUCUUGCUUCCAAGUCAUCUUGACUUUCUCAGAACAACAACAACAAAGGGAUCCCCCCCCCAUAACUUCAUAUUUUUCUGUGAUGCCUUGGAGGAUUAUAGGUUCCCAGUUUGAAUAAAUCAUUGGAGUUAAAACAUAUUUGAAAGUUUUCCCCUUUAUGGUGUGUGUGUG
ensembl:lincRNA